UGGGUAGAUAUGUUCUGUGGCCUUCAGAAUAGGAUCCUUUGUGGGGCAUUUAGUCCAUUAAUUAGAAAAUUGCCUUCAUCUUGGAUGCUGGUGCUUCUGG
ensembl:misc_RNA